CAAGGAAUAUUGCACAAUGGGCGAAAGCCUGAUGCAGCAACGCCGCGUGGGCGAUGAAGGCCUUCGGGUUGUAAAGCCCUUUUCUGCGGGAAGAGCAAGGACGGUACCGCAGGAAUAAGUCUCGGCUAACUACGUGCCAGCAGCCGCGGUAAUACGUAGGAGACGAGCGUUAUCCGGAUUUACUGGGUGUAAAGCGCAUGUAGGCGGGUUCUCAAGUCGGGCAUGAAAUCUUUCGGCUUAACCGGGAGGGGUGGUCCGAUACUAGGAGCCUAGAGGGCAGGAGAGGGAAGCGGAAUUCCCGGUGUAGUGGUGGAAUACGUAGAUAUCGGGAGGAACACCAGUGGCGAAGGCGGCUUCCUGGCCUGUGCCUGACGCUAAGAUGCGAAAGCGUGGGUAGCAAACGG
rnacentral:rRNA from 1 species